GAUGAACGCUAGCGGCAGGCCUAACACAUGCAAGUCGAGGGAGGAGCUUUCGGGCUUCGACCGGCGUACGGGUGCGUAACGCGUAUACAAUCUGCCUUUCACAUAGGGAUAGCCCGAAGAAAUUUGGAUUAAUACCUAAUGGCAUAUAGGGGUGGCAUCACCUUUAUAUUAAAGCUGAGGCGGUGAAAGAUGAGUAUGCGUUCUAUUAGCUAGUUGGAGAGGUAACGGCUCCCCAAGGCGACGAUAGAUAGGGGUUCUGAGAGGGAUAUCCCCCACACUGGUACUGAGAUACGGACCAGACUCCUACGGGAGGCAGCAGUGAGGAAUAUUGGACAAUGGUCGGAAGACUGAUCCAGCCAUGCCGCGUGCAGGAAGACGGCCUUAUGGGUUGUAAACUGCUUUUGCAGGGGAAGAAUAAGGACUACGAGUAGUUUGAUGACGGUACUCUGCGAAUAAGCAUCGGCUAACUCCGUGCCAGCAGCCGCGGUAAUACGGAGGAUGCGAGCGUUAUCCGGAAUCAUUGGGUUUAAAGGGUCCGUAGGCGGGCUAAUAAGUCAGAGGUGAAAGCGCUCAGCUCAACUGAGCAACUGCCUUUGAAACUGUUAGUCUUGAAUGGUUGUGAAGUAGUUGGAAUGUGUAGUGUAGCGGUGAAAUGCUUAGAUAUUACACAGAACACCGAUAGCGAAGGCAUAUUACUAACAAUUAAUUGACGCUGAUGGACGAAAGCGUGGGGAGCGAACAGG
rnacentral:rRNA from 1 species